UCAUAUGUUAUCAAUAUUCCAAAGACAGUAACGGCAGAUUUGCUUAAUAAGGUUACCGAGGGUUGAUGCACUGAGAUGCUCAUUUUUACCCGUGCUUUGGUGCGGGUUUUUCUUUGAAUAU
rfam:Firmicutes bacterium CAG:536 genomic scaffold, scf165